rnacentral:rRNA from 1 species
UACGAAGGGGGCUAGCGUUGCUCGGAAUGACUGGGCGUAAAGGGCGCGUAGGCGGAUGGCACAGUCAGAUGUGAAAUUCCCGGGCUUAACCUGGGGGCUGCAUUUGAUACGUGUGAUCUAGAGUGAGGAAGAGGGUCGUGGAAUUCCCAGUGUAGAGGUGAAAUUCGUAGAUAUCGGGAGGAACACCAGUGGCGAAGGCGGCGAUCUGGGAAGAUACUGACGCUGAGGUGCGAAAGCGUGGGGAGCAAACAGG